rnacentral:sRNA from 1 species
UCCUCCGCCGGCCCCUGAUAUUUCCAUCCAGAAAGAAUUACAGUGAUAGGACCUGAAGACAAUGGAAAACAGGGACGUUGAGGACAGGAAACCGCAGAUGUGAAACCUACUAAGCCCAUCGCCAUGCAUACUCCAUAAUCCGCGCGCACCUGUGUGCCUUCGCAACUCCAACCUUCUCUCGCUGCCCAUCGUUCAUCAUUUCCAGCUCGCUCAACAAGUACAAUGAUGCGUCAAGCCCGCAGCUAAUCCCUCCAGAGCUGAUAACGUUUACUCCAAACCCGGGUCGGUUUACAGUGACCCACCUCCACGAAUGCUGCUGCGCAUUCGAGUAGCCUUCAUAAUCCCCGUUGCCUAUAUCGGGCUCAAUAACUGUUCCUUGACCCGCCAUCCUACAAUACUCUCCCAACUUUUCAAGACCCGCAUAAUGGGUAGUGACGACCAUGUUGCUGAAUACCCCCGCUAACCCCGCCACUAGCGCCCCAGUGCAUAUUGACAGGAACACGCGCUUACAGCCUCGCGGAGAGGGCGUAGUCAUUUGCGAAAAAGCCAGGAGCAGUUGCAGAUGCUCCCUCACGCUGGAUGGGUCUAGUCCAAGUAGCUCUGGGGUUUCCAGGUACCUUUCUACUUCGGAAACGCCGGCGCCAGGCUGGACAACGAUUUCAUACUGGUCGAGCUGCAUCAUCGCCUGGGAAAUGCUGAGGGUACGAUAGACAGGGACUUUCUCCGCGCUGAGAGUUGGUUGGGCGACGGUGGCGAUUUCAAAGGUUAUCUCAAGCCCACCGAUGGCUGCACCCUUGCCCAGGACCUCGAUUGGAGCAUAGAGGUCCAAGGUGUCGAAGCCUGGAAAGGGGAGGAGGAGUACUUUGAGGGAAUUGGGUUGGGACAUGGUGAUGGGGAUCGCGAUGGGAUGUUGAGUGUGCUAUAUAUAUUGGUUGAUCAAUCUUGCCAGGUUUGAUUAUGCUAGCUAACUAUGUGGAUGAGGGGGUUGGCUUUAAGGUAUCUCGAGCACCGACAGUAGGAUUUAUAUAAAACUUGAAGAAGCUCAUUUCUUCUUUCAUCUAUGUGAGGCUGAUACGCUGUCAUACGCUGCUUCUUGAAUCUGUUAUUCAGCCCCAAGCCCCCUCAGGUCGGAGCUGACAAUCGAAGCAUACUCGAACAAUAGCUGGAUGCGCAGAUACAGAUUUUCAUAUCUCAAAAUUGGGCUCUUUAUCCACUCGUGAAUGGGAUUCGGGGAGUUUGACAAAGUGGUCGUUUUUGAUCUUAGGAGGGGGUGGGAUGUGGGAAGUAGCUCCCAGUGACCCCAAAUACCUCAAUUGUGCUCGAUUUUCGUAGACAAUAUCAGUCUAAAUCUACACACAGUGGUAUUUAUUUAUUGUCUUUGAAAUAUUUGAGUCGAAUGAUGUACAUCUAUUCAAGAUAUGCAUACGUUCACUAUAUGUACUGAAAUUUAACGUGAUAUUUUCAAAAGCCAAACUUUUCGGAUUAAACAUGCUGAGAAUGGCGAAAUACCAUACUUCAAGAAUUCAGAGCCAAUG